UCAGUUAAAUAUUUUUCAGAUAGACGAACAACUUUAUCUUCUAUUUCAAUCAAACCUCUAUUAAAUAUUUCAUCAGAAAAAGUUGCGAGUCAUUUAAUUGAGGGCGCUUUGUAUGAAGAAUAUCAUCACAAAAAUCAUUUCUGAACUGUUCCCACAAAGAUUGAAGUUCAGACGAUGGGCAGAAAAUUAUGAUUAUUGCGAAUAAUUCUCUUAACUUAGAAGGACUUUCUGAAACAGUUGCAUCCGCUAGAGCAUUUUUUCAUUACUCGUAAUUUUCUAAAAGCCCAAAAGUAAAACAGACAGCUUUAAAAAUCGCGUGAAUGACUUCAUCAAUGACCUUCAAGUUUUCAAAUGAAGUAGGAUCUUGUUCAUAAUUUAGUAACAAUCUUAAAUGUAAGCACUCACUUUGAUUUGGGUGAAUCGUAUAAAUUCUACCAAUGGCAAUGUCCAUUUUUAUUCCUGGCCAACCCGGAAUAUCUUUUCCCCGUCUUCUCUUUAACCAGCCUCUGCUAUCAUUCCAGGUAUAAGAGGUAUAAGAAGGAACUUCAUGAUAGAACCGUGUUUUCGCAAAAUCAUCAUGUGAGUUCAAAAAAUGUAAUUAGUAUCGUUUUUUCUUGGAUUUUCAAUAACUUGAUGAAGAUAAGCAAUAAAGAAAACACGCUGUCCAUUUUCUAAAUGAACAGCUAAGUGCUUAACUGUUGAAUCUCUAUCAUAAAUUUUAAAAUUGAAAGUUCUUCAAAACGCUUCAGAAGUACAUAUGUAUCGACCAUUCAAAUAAUUUGCAAUCUCAUCGUUUUCACUAUUAACAGAAAAAGUAGCUCUAUCUGAUCCUUUAUUAUCCUUAUCCUUUACUAAUGUAUUUACAUAUGUAUUUUAUUGUUUUAAUCGUAUUUUACGUUAAUAUGCGCAUUAAAGCACCUUGAUAGCAAUGGGCAAUUAGCACUGGGCAAUAUGGUACAACCCAACGGUUGUCGACCACGGUUUUAUUUGACUGUUUGACCUCGAACUUUUAAUAUUGUAGUAUAAACUCCAUCAUAUGGUGCUCUCCAUUAGUAAAUCGGAUAACCAUCAUCUCCAGUUUAAGUAUCUUUGACCAAUUUGCGAGGGUAUUUCUUACUACGUUUUCCAUUAUUCAUACAUGGUAAUUUAAUAUUUAACUCGCCACAUGAGCCAUGAAUCAUGUUCUUGCAUACUAUUUCAUAAAGUAUAGGAUCUCUGUCUUUGGUAUCUCGGCAGAAAUAAUUUUAUCUAUUUCAGCUGCUGAAUUUUCAUUUGUAACCAUAAAAGAAUUUGGCAGUGUGGCAAACCUCGUUUUUGCCAUUUAACACUAAAAAUAUUACUAUUUACAUAUCCGUUAAUAUAUUCAUUUUUUCAUACAUGCAUAUAUUUUUUUAGUUUAAGAUGAAAAACUUUAGAGAUUAUGUCGUGUUUAUCAAACAACUUUUGAUCUUGAAAUAAUUCAUUUUUUAUUUCCGGCCAUUCCGGAUUGCAUGUGAAAGUAAUAAAUAAAUCUGAACGGCCAAAUUUACGAACACAUGUCAUAAUAUCCAGAUUUUUUUCAUGCAUAUAACGUGGGGAGCCAGUAAAAGAAGAGGGAAUAAUUACUUAUUACCCCACGUUAUUAUCAUUAAUGGGCGAUUGCAAACUCCGCCGCAAUAUCGGUUAAGAUAAAAAGCAUCUCGGAGGUAAACAUAAUCAUCUGCAGGUAGUUGUUUUUGAUGGUUACGAACAAAGUGUAGUCUUUCAGUAAUCAUUUUUGUCAUCAUAUCCACGGCGAAACGACUGAAUAAGGUUUUGUAAUAAUAUAGAUGAUUUAGACUUAUUUUUCUAACCAUAAACAUGUGCAUUAUAUUGACCUUUGUGUUCUUCUUGAGGAACUCUAUCACCAUGAAUAAUUAACUUAAAGUCUUGCAACUCAUCAAACAACCUUGACUAUAGAAGAAAAAAGGUCAGGAUACAGGUAGCUGUAAACCCACGGGCCGCCGUGCCACACAAUAUUUAUAUAAUAUAGAUAUAUAGUUUUUUAAUUUUCCAAGAACUUUUAUACUUAUUUUUCUUUGAUAAAAGUGGUAUUAAAACCUUAAGCAGAGUGUCGGAUAUAACAGUGAAAAAUUUCAGCCAAAUCGGUUCAGUAGUUUUCUCGGUUAGUGCGGUCGUA